rnacentral:rRNA from 1 species
UACGUAGGGGGCUAGCGUUGUCCGGAUUUAUUGGGCGUAAAGAGCGUGUAGGCGGCCAGGUAGGUCUGCUGUGAAAACUCGAGGCUCAACCUCGAGACGUCGGCGGAAACCAUCUGGCUAGAGUCCGGAAGAGGAGAGUGGAAUUCCUGGUGUAGCGGUGAAAUGCGCAGAUAUCAGGAAGAACGACCCGUGGCGAAGGCGGCUCUCUGGGACGGUACUGACGCUGAGACGCGAAAGCGUGGGGAGCGAACAGG